CGAUGAAUUUUGUUUUUCUUAUAACAGAAAAGCAAAUGAAUUGAUGGCUCACAGAAUUCUGUAUAUCACUGAGGUUAUUUUCUGUUGAAUUUCUCCAACUUAUUCUCUGCUAUGUUGACAAUUUUCUUCUCCCGUACAAACGAUUGUCCAUUAACUGUAACCAAGAUUUCCAUUGAAUAAGUACUAAAGAUAAUCGAUCUUUUUGAGAUUUCCUUUCACAGUUUUUAUAUUCAUCUCGAAAUUCGGUCUCUCCCUCUUUUCCUUUUACAGUGUAAAUGACUUGUGUUAUACACUUUUGGCCUCAGGGUGAAUGUCAAACCUCUUGACCAGGCAAAAUGGAGACCACUAGAAAAGCAGCCAUACAGAUAACUGUUUCUAUAGAAAUCAGGAUAAAAUAUCACAGUGAGAGAGAGAGAGAGAGAGAGAGAGAGAGAGAGAGAGAGAGAGAGCCAACAAGAAGAUAACUGUUCAUGUGGUUUGGAGGGACAAAAAAAGAUAAAGAAAAGUGAAAAAAAAGGUGAAUCAAAAAGGAAAACGGAAAUGAAAGAAACAGAAAAUACUUACAUCAUAAGCCAGAAGAAAAAACAUCAACUUGAACCAUAAGAAAAGGAUCCAUCUAAUAUAUAAAGAAACUGCGACAUUUUUGGACCUCCGUCUAAAUUAGACUAUUAUUUAGGUGAUAUUUCAAAUAGAUGCAACUUCCUGUGUCCUGUCUUUAUGCUUUUACCACUUAACACAUUGGUGAUCAUCAUCUUCACACCGACAACAUUAUAACUUUGACCUGCAAGGCAAAUGAAUGAUACCUUAAAAAACUGUUUACUAUCAACAACAUCAUCAAAAGAGGUUAUAUUUUCUGUUAUUAUCAACACAGAUCAUUUCAUAAGAUUUAAAAGGUCGAAAACUUUUUUUUAUCGUUUUCCAUGUUCAUUGAAUGUGAUCAAGGAGAAGAGAAAAAGCUUGAUAAUAAUGGAAACAGUGACCAGGCAACUGACCAGAAGGAAAAUCAUCACCAUUAUUAUCGUUUUUUAUAUACUGUAAAAGAAAAAGAAAAUCAUCAAGAUAGUGACGAUGAAAUCAGUUGAUGGAAAAGUAGUUUACUUUUUUCGAAGAAUAGAAAUGUUCAAUUGCUCUUUUUUCCAACACUCUCUUUCUGAUCGAUUCAGUUGAUGACCAACAGAUAUUGGUGCGAGUAUAAUUGCUGAUGAUGUCCAUCAAGAUGACCUGAGCAUCAUUUUGUUCAUCAUCAUUUUAACUUGUUUCCAUUUUCCUCCCUUUCAAUAAAUUCUGAUCUCUGAACA